rnacentral:rRNA from 1 species
GACGUAGGGCGCGAGCGUUGUCCGGAUUUAUUGGGCGUAAAGAGAUCGUAGGCGGCUUGUCGCGUCGGCUGUGAAAACCCGCGGCUCAACUGUGGGCGGGCAGCUGAUACGGGCAGGCUGGAGUUCGGUAGGGGAGACUGGAAUUCCUGGUGUAGCGGUGAAAUGCGCAGAUAUCAGGAGGAACACCGGUGGCGAAGGCGGGUCUCUGGACAGUUCCUGACACUGAGGCACGAAGGCCAGGGGAGCAAACGGG